CCGAGUGAGGGCCCUCUGGGUCCAACCUCCCACCCGUGUUUAUCGUACCUUGUUGCUUCGGCGGGCCCGCCGUCAUGGCCGCCGGGGGGCACCCGCCCCCGGGCCCGCGCCCGCCGAAGACACCAUUGAACGCUGUCUGAAGAUUGCAGUCUGAGCGAUUAGCUAAAUCAGUUA
rnacentral:misc_RNA from 1 species